rnacentral:rRNA from 1 species
UUAGAGUUUGAUCCUGGCUCAGGAUGAACGCUAGCGGGAGGCCUAAUACAUGCAAGUCGAACGGUAAGUUAGUUGCUUGCAACUAACACGAGUGGCGCACGGGUGAGUAACGCGUACGCGACCUGCCCUCAAGAGGGGAAUAGCCCUGGGAAACCGGGAUUAAUGUCCCAUGUGGUUGUAUUUCUAAGGGAUAUAAUUAAAGGAGCGAUCCGCUUGAGGAUGGGCGUGCGUGCUAUUAGCUAGUUGGUGAGGUAAUGGCUCACCAAGGCGACGAUAGCUAGGGGGCGUGAGAGCGUGAUCCCCCACACGGGUACUGAGACACGGACCCGACUCCUACGGGAGGCAGCAGUAAGGAAUAUUGGACAAUGGGGGCAACCCUGAUCCAGCCAUCCCGCGUGCAGGAAGACGGCCCUAUGGGUUGUAAACUGCUUUUAUUAGGGAAGAAUAGCAUCAAUGGAUUGGUGCAUGACGGUACCUAAGGAAUAAGCACCGGCUAACUCCGUGCCAGCAGCCGCGGUAAUACGGAGGGUGCAAGCGUUAUCCGGAAUCACUGGGUUUAAAGGGUGCGUAGGUGGAAUAAUAAGUCACGCGUGAAAGGUUACAGCUUAACUGUAGACUUGCGUUUGAUACUGUUAUUCUUGAAUUAAGAUGAGGUUGGCAGAAUGCGACAUGUAGCGGUGAAAUGCAUAGAUAUGUCGUAAAUACCGAUUGCGAAGGCAGCCAACCGGACUUAAAUUGACACUGAGGCACGAA